rnacentral:rRNA from 1 species
AGCGGCGAACGGGUGCGUAACACGUGGGCAAUCUACCAAGAAGUGGGGGAUAGCUCGGCGAAAGCCGAAUUAAUACCGCAUGUGAUGAGGGGAGACAUCUUUCCGAAAUCAAAGGUGGCGCAAGCUACCGCUUUUUGUGGGGCCCGCGGCCUAUCAGCUUGUUGGCGAGGUAACGGCUCACCAAGGCUAUGACGGGUAGCUGGUCUGAGAGGACGACCAGUCACACUGGGACUGAGACACGGCCCAGACACCUACGGGUGGCAGCAGUCGAGAAUUUUUGACAAUGGGGGAAACCCUGAUCGAGCGACGCCGCGUGGAGGAUGAAGGUCUUCGGGUUGUAAACUCCUGUCAUUUGGGAACAAGGCGUACGUAUUAACUGUGCGUGCGUUGAUAGUACCAGAAGAGGAAGAGACGGCUAACUCUGUGCCAGCAGCCGCGGUAAUACAGAGGACUCAAGCGUUGUUCGGAUUCAUUGGGCGUAAAGGGUGUGUAGGUGGCGCGCUAAGUCGGGUGUGAAAUUUCGGAGCUUAACUCCGAAACUGCAUUCGA